rnacentral:rRNA from 1 species
UACGGAGGAUCCGAGCGUUAUCCGGAUUUAUUGGGUUUAAAGGGUGCGUAGGCGGCCUGUCAAGUCGGCGGUGAAACCCCCGGGCUCAACCCGGGGACUGCCGUCGAAACUGGCGGGCUAGAGUACGUUGGGAGUGCGCGGAAUGUGUGGUGUAGCGGUGAAAUGCAUAGAUAUCACACAGAACACCGAUCGCGUAGGCAGCGCACUACGCCGCAACUGACGCUGAGGCACGAAGGCGCGGGGAUCGAACAGGAUUAGAUACCCUGGUAGUCCGCGCAGUAAACGAUGGAUGCUCGCCGUCCGCGAUACACAGCGGGUGGCCAAGCGAAAGCGAUAAGCAUCCCACCUGGGGAGUACGCCGGCAACGGUGAA